CAUUACAUCAUUAGUGGCACGUGGCUUACGUGAUUCAAUAGAAAUCAUUGCCAAUAAGGAAAGAAAAGAAUAUCAUAUGUAAACGAUGGAUCAAGACACUGUAAUCAAAUGAAACGUAUUAAUUACUCUAAAAAAAUAAUAAUAUUGAAAGAUAAAGCUGACGAGGUUUGUGCUUUAACUCGUCUAUGCAUAAAAUUAACCGAGGAUCAGCGAAGAAAGAUUAUUGAUGGCAUGGAAGCUGCUAAGAAAGAGAAAUCAUCAAAAUCUCCGACGAAAAGAUUUAAUGAGCGGGAAAAACAAGUGAAGAUAAAAAGAAGGAUGAAGAUAAAUCUAUGAAGACAAUGAUCAAGAUGUAUCAAAUAUUUCAAGUGAUUCGGAGGAAGAAACACCACGUACCUCAGUGGGUAUACUCUCUGGGCUGAGAUUAAAACUUUACCCGUAAUUCUGUCUUUGACGAAAAUUGAAGGAGGUAAAUAAAAAAUACGCACUAGUGUUGUCACAAUUUGGUGCUACUCUUUGAUUAUUUACAAUUGAUACUAGACAACCGAUAUUAUCAGUUAAUCGUCCAUAAGCAAUCGAAAUAUCGAUUAAUUUUAGCAAAAAAAAAGAAGUUUUUGUCUUAAUCAACUGCAUAGUUGUACAAUCGAUAACUCAAUAAUUGAUUGUGAAAAUCGAUUUUCGAAGCAGUUCAAUUGCGCUGUGGCUUAAUCAUUCUCCAAAUUAUGACCAGAUAUCGCACUGGUACAUGGAAUGGAAAAAUGCUGAAUGAUGGACUCUUGGCUGAGCCAGUCAUCAAGGAUUAUUUUAAGAAGGCACUGGAUAUGGUGAAUCGGGUUUUAUUAACUCCGUAAGGCCUUCAACUCGGUGCCGAUAAGCUAGUUUCCUAUCUGACAAGUCUCAAGAGAACACCGCCAGUUCCACAGAUUCCUACGUCAGCUUAACUACGUAGUGAGAGAUUCACCGAAGCUGAACGUACUGUUUCGCAGAUACCUCAAUGCUUCAAAGAUCUUGUGCAAAAGAAGUGUGAAGAACGUGGGAUCCUAUUCAUGCCGAUGGCAAAUCGAUAUCACGAAGUUAAACAAGUGUACAAAGUUAGCAACUAUAGGUCUACAUCAAUGGAAACGUUCUUUUCUUCAAUCAUAAAACGACUAAUUUGGUUCCUAUUCAUCUCAACGCCUUAUUAGACAUGACAGGACUCUAAUCAGUGGUACGAAAUUACUAAUUGGAAGUAUUUAUCAUUUUUUCUACACAUAUUGUUAUAAUUUAAUUUUUUAUUCUGUCUAGAAAACGGUUGAUUGUUUUUAUGCCCAAAGACAUUAUUUAUUUAUUUAUUUCUUUUUUUUUUUUUUUCGUAAAAUUAAUUAGUUAUAAAAAAACGAUGCUCGAAUAGAAAUAAUCAAUUUUCACAAUUUAAUUAUUCACGAUAACUAGCAAUGAUAUUGAUUCAUUUGAAAAAAUUUAUUAAUGAUUAGCACGAUUGACCAAAGUUUAGUUGAUACUUUUUAAAAUAUUCAACAAAUACAGGGAAUUAAAUUUAUGUUUGAAAAAUUCGGGUGAAAAUAUCUCAAAAACUCACUAAAAUUAUGAUAAUUUUUGCGACAGUCAGAAAGGCCUAUUAUGAUAAAUGGAUUUAAUAUUUAGGCUAUUUCGAUAAUUGGGUUAAGAGCUAUUCAAUGAAAAAUGAAAAAAAUCAUUUUUAUUUAAAUCGUUUCCUUGUUACUCUCUGAAGCCAUGUCGGCUUUUAGUCUGCCGGUGCAAAUUAUUUGAAUUGGACGUGACUAUAGAUCUUCGGAUACAUAGGUAGUUUUGAAAGGCUCGAAAUAACUUGGUUUUUGAUUAAAGAAUAGAUGAGUUUAAUUUAUUCAUAUAAAAUAGAAUAGUCAGAGAAUUUGAUUGAAAAAUACACUUAUAUAAUUGACAAAUAACUUCGAGUCAAAAGAAUGGCAUAAUAAAAUUAAACUGAGUUUAAUAAUUAUAAUCGAAUUAAUUCUGUAUCUUUCCACGAGCCAACGCCCUAGAGAAAAAUAGGAUAGAGAAAAAAGGACUCAUUCCUAAAAAGUGGGAGUUUGUUAUCAUCGUUCGACGCUGAUGCGGUUGCGAGAGCAGUCGAUGAUGCUUCACGAAGUUUCCAGAUUUUUGUGAAAAAAACUAGUUUCUAUUUUCUAUUCUUUUGAUAUUCGUUAUUUGUCAAACAAUCGUUCUUAUCUAUAUUUACUUGUUGACAUUUUUUUCGAGAAAUCGUUGGUGAUGAUUAAGUAUUCUAAUGCAUUGAAAAUAUUUUAUCUGUUUAACUACUUUUCGAUGUAUACCUAUUUAUAUUAUAUACAUCGAUACAAAAUAUAAUAUUAUUAAUGCUACAAUGAUACCCUCGCGAUUUUAGACUUAUUGAAACAAUACCACAAUUACACGGUAUAAAUACUGCUUAAAUAUGGAAUUACUUAUUUUGGCCAGUUUUUUUGUCGGAUUAUUUGUUACGUCCUGGUUGAUGUUUUGGCGCUGGCGUAGUUGAGCGGUCGAUUUGAAGUGGACAUAAUGAGAACUUACAUAUAAUUAUAAAUAAUUAUCAAGUAUGGGUUGAACAGCCACCAUUCGGUGGUUGAAAUAAACUGGUUAUUUGAUUAUAUAUUGUUUUAUAUCUCAAUCCGAUUUAUUCAAUUGUAAAAGAAUAAUUUUAAUAAUGUGAAAAUAUACAAUUGAAUCAAUUUAUAAAUUUGUUAAAGUUCUCCUAACAAUAACUUCAAGAGGGUAAGAACGAAGUUGAGUAUUUAAUAUUGAGCCUAACCGCUCUCAAUGAUUCUAUAUUUCAGACUGCCUUCUCUUGAUCGAGAGAAACUAGAGUAACUCUUAUCAAUACGUUUGGGCAUCAGACCCGCGCAUCGAUUCAUAUGGAGGAGUCAUUCGAGAUAGCGCAUGUUCGUGGGGUUUUCCUCUGCACAACUAUCGCAUUCGUGGUUUUCCACAAGCAUCUGACCGGAGUCAGGAAUCAUCACAGACACUUAGUGUCACAUUACUUUUUCUCGACUCUAUAAGAUUUUAAAAUCAGCGGUAUGUCCUGGAGUCUGUCUCCUUGAGGAGUACUGGCUGUGAAUCUUUUUGAUCUUAAUCCAGGAUCAUCGUUUCUAAGCACGGCGUUAAAAUCCUGACCGUGCAUAUUAAAGUUGCUGUUUAUAGUGUCACCCCAUCCUGGUAUUGCUGCGUCUUGCCUGGUGUAACAAAAUCCAGGCGCUCAUGCAUUUCUAAAUCGCUUAUAAGCAAAUACGUCAGCUAUUGAGAGCUGGUUUGUGCUCAGCAUUGUGGGGGACCAAAGUACGACGGCACAUGGCGAAAGGAACGCACUGGGAGAUAGAGGCGUUACGCACUCUACAAAUGCAAUGGUACUUGACGUUACCUUCGUUGGUAUCACCGGAUUUCCAAUUUUUAUUUGAUGUGCUCUACUUUUAAGCGCGGUUGACACUCGGUCAAACACUUCCGGGAUGGCCUGCGCUCUCAUACUUAUUUCGCUACCUUCAGGCGGGUCGCGUAGUGCGUCUAAUGAAAAAUGUCCUCCAGCAUCUAAUGGCUCUGGAAUCCUAUAGCAGAGGAAGUUUCGGUUAGGCUGGGCAUUGGCCGGGAAAAAUGCAUCCGGCAAGGGUUGCCAAUUUCGUGUCUGUGUUAUUGUAGCUUCAAUCAGCUUACGUGAAAUGUAUGGACUAGGGUAACAUUCAUGUACAUUGUGUGUAACUGCGUUACACUCUCCGAAUGUACCGGCAACCGUAUUAUUCGGUCCGUCGUGUGGUAUUCUGGUAACUUUACAGUUUAAUUACAGUUGUUAUGACCUCCACCUAUCGGGAGGUUGAUUAGUUAAUUCAGUAUAAUUUUAAUUAUUUAUAUUGAGUUAUUUCGCCCGGGAAUAUUUAAAUACUCAGCUUUGGCACGCCGAUUAUAAAUUGGUAAAGGACUGUUCAAUAAAAAACAAAGUUUAUUUUGUUCGUUAACAAUUCAAUUUGAAAAUAUAUUUUAGAUUAGUACAAUUACAUUCGCGCUCAAUCUUCUGGCUUCUUCUGCCUUACAAAAAUUAAUUUUAAAACCGACAUCCCUCUGCAAUUUUUUCAAACAUUAUGAAUUUACCAUACUAUUAUUUAUUAAAUAAUCUACCUUUUCUGAAAUCACAGUUGAUGAAUUAAAACGAUCUUUUGUUUGGUUCCAUGCCUCGGCUUUUCCACCUAAUGAAACUGCAUCACUUUUUUUAUUUUCAAUCACAUGUGAGAAGUCUUUUAAGAUUUGAAGAAAGUAUUUUUUUCAACUUGAAUAUAAUGGCUACUUUUUGUCCCUCCAGUCAUAUUUCAGAAAUCUUAUAUUCUGGGAACCAAUUUUUCACUAUCCACAACAAUAGCACCUUUGCUGUUCUGUGCAAAACAAUUUUGCUUAUACUUCAUAGUAUAAAUUCAUAUUUACAAUGAUUAUUUCAUGUACAUAUAUAAUUAUUGCAUGUAAAAUAAUUUUCGAAAUCAAAUUACAACUAUUCAAUCUUUGAGAAAUUUCUUCAAAUACGAAAUCGAUUUUUCUUUUAUCAGAUUAUAAAAACUAAAUUUAGAUGUUGAAAUAAAUUCUUCUCUGAAUUUCCGGAGAGUUUUAGUCAUGUUCACAAAGUAAGUUCUCCGUUUGCCAAUCGCCACAGUUUCACAGCUUCUUUUAUUCUUCAUUUUACUUUAUCCAACACACUUCUGCUAUCACUUCUAUUAUAUAUGUCUUAGAGGUCUGAUAAGCGAACGGUCAAUUUCGUAGUAAUUUGGCUCCUUCCCGUAUUUUUAUAAAUUAAUCUGUUGAUAAGAUUUUUAACGACUAAAGAACACAAUUAGUCGUUAAAAAGCGAAUGAAAAAAUCAGAAUAAUCGAAACGAAACAGUUUCGAUCUAAUAAGAUUAAAUUUCAUUAAAAUCAUAAUUAUUAAAAAAAUAGAAAAAAAAUUUUGAAAUAUUACUUACUGCUUAUAAAACAUUUAGAAGAUUUGUUUUCAUAUUUUUAUCUGCAUGAUGUUACAUUGUUAAAUAAGAAAUUAUUUCUAAAAAAAUUUACACACAUUUUUUUUGUUCCAUGCUCUUUGCAUGGAAAUGUUAAUGCUUUUGUAUCGAGUUAUUCACUUAAUAAAUUUUCCCAAAUAAAAUCAUUGAUUGUAGAAUUUUUUAACACCAUUUCAAAAACAUUUUCGAUCUUUUUCAAUAAGCUGUAAAAUCCUAAAUUUGGAUAACUGAACGAGUUUUCUCUCGGGUCGUCUAACGUUAUGGAUGCGACUGGUAAAAAUACUGGUGGUUCAGGAUUCCUAAUAGCAUUAUGACAUGUGUCACAAUUCGAAUGUAUCCUUAUUAAUUUUAUUACACUGUGUCACUUUCCGAAUCUCUUGCUCAAUGCAAUUUAAUAAAUUUAUUACUUUGAGUGAAGGAUACAUGAAAACACCUCGAUUUAAUAAAUUUAUCACUGUAUACAAGCUGUUAUCAUGUUCUUCAGGUUUUGUUAUAAUCGAAUUCAUACAUAUUUUACAAGUUUUUUUCCAUUUUUGCAUUGUUCGAAGAAGAUAGCCAGCUACGUAUACUACUACAUAUUUGAUAUAGUCAUGUGACGGGAUUUCGAUUUUAUCCAUCACAUACUUUGCUCGGUCAUCAUUGGUGCCUUCAUCAAUAUCUUUAUGGAGAAUCCCAUCUAAAAUUUUUCCCGAUUCAUGUUUUCAAGCAUUUCAAUUGAUUUUGAACAUCGAUCGCUGCAUUGCAUUAAACUAUGUGCCGUUUCUUCACCUGAUACACUACUACCUUUCAAAGGCUUUAAUAACGUGUACGUACACAGCAAAUGAAACAUUUGUCCAAAUAAUACCAAAUCGGGAUGAUCAUUCAAUCCGCAGACAUUUCUGGCUAAUCCGAAAAACAGCUAAAAAUUGAAUAAACAUUUAUAUAUAAAUAUGUAUAGGUAUACAUAUUCAUAUCCAUGAGUGUGGCAGAAAUAUUCUGUCAAUUGCAUGACCGCUUUAAUUGUGAUUUUAAAAAUUUAACAAAUACUAUCUGUAAUAAAUACGCUGUUUUGGUAUUCUUGGGCAUGAAUUUCCUCCUAUUCUUUCAAAUAUUAUAAAAACUUAGCAAGGAACUAUACAUAAACGAAAAAAUUUGAUAUAUUUGUUAUUGAACGCAUUUCUAAGUAAUAAAGUUCAAGAAUAUUUUGCUUACACGAAAGUCUGGAGAUUUGGGCUUAAAACCUUCUUUUGUAUUCCUUAUACUCAUUACUUGAAUUACUCUUUAUAUAAAUUAUAAAUUUUAAUGUUGGCUCACAUUGAAAUAAUUUUCUCAACUUCGUAUAAAUACAAUGCUUUUCAGUCUUUACAGACAAUGAGAAUAACUAGAAAUGUAAAUGAAUUGAAAAAAAAUUAUUAAUAUUCAAAUUCUUUCAAAGUUGACUAUUAUCCUGGCGAUAGCAGCCAUCUAUUUGUUUCUGCAGAACUAUAUUUCGUGCAAGUCUCAUUUUAUUUUAGUGUUAUGUAUCCACCUAUCAAGAGGUGGAUUGAUUAAAUCACUAAUAAUAAAUUACCCAUACUGGGUUAAUUCGCCCGGGAAUAUUUAAAUAUUCAGCUUUGGUAACAGCUCUUGCAUCCGUAAGUUUAACGAGAUUUCGAGCUAGUGAUAACUUCAUUUUUUCCGGUUUUUUCAUGACAUAGCAGCUCUAUUCUAUAAAAAUCUGGAAGAAGUAACAGUUCUUUCUGAAGAUUGAGUAUUGCGCUUGUCGCUGGUUUUGAGGUUUCAACGUAAUUCGAGAUGCAAUUCCAAUAAAUUGAAGUCAAUUUUGGAAAACGCUUUUUGAAUUUUUUAAAUUUUAGUAAGGAACUUAACAUAUCGUAUCUAGAUCUGUUUUAUUCAAUGAAUAAAGAGGUAGUUGAAGAAUUGUGAAAUGUACAAUCGAGAUGAUUUACAAUAUUGUUAAGGUAUUCUUAACAAUAGCUUCAAGAAAAUGAGAACGAAGUCAAGUUUUUUAUUCUAAGUCUGACUACUCUCGAUGAUUCUAUCUUUCAGACUGACUUCUCUUGAUCGAGAAAAACUAGAGUAACUCUUAUCAAUACGUUUGGGCAUCAGACCCGCGUAUCGAUUCAUAUGGAGGAGUCAUUCGAGAUAACGCAUGCUCUCGAAUGAUCCAUUCUAAUAUUCAUUGAGAAUAUUUAAUUCUCGCGAUCUCUCCGCUUUUGUUACUAACAAAUGAGUCACUUAUCUAUUAACAAAAGUUAUCUUAAACAAAAUAUAUGUUUGUGCAGCUGCACGUCUCGUGGAUUUACUCGAGGCGUCAACGCUUAUUUAUACUUGUUAUGUCCGACUAUUAUUUAUUUAAUUAUUUUGGUUGCGUGGAUUAGGCGUUCGGACUAACCAAUGCAAUUUUCGGCUCAAAUGUUUAGUUCAAGCCUUAAUUUGUUUGUUUUGGGAUACGUUUCGAUGUGGACUUUCUUUUAUUUCUAAUUCGGUUAAAAUAGAGUUAUCUUUGUGGGUAGAUGAAUGUAAAAAAUGCGCUAAUCAAUACAUACGAUUUUAACUUAAUAGCGUCCUUAAUUCCUCUUAAAUUUUUGAGGCUGGUUGGAAAAGUUGUUAAAAUUGAAAA